rnacentral:rRNA from 1 species
AGCGGCGGACGGGUGAGUAACGCGUGAGCAAUCUGUCCCAGACAGGGGGAUAACAUUGGGAAACCAAUGCUAAUACCGCAUAAGACCACGGGGAGGCAUCUUUCUGAGGUAAAAGGAGGAAUCCGGUUUGGGGUGAGCUCGCGUCCCAUUAGCUAGUUGGUGAGGUAACGGCCCACCAAGGCGACGAUGGGUAGCCGGCCUGAGAGGGUGAACGGCCACAUUGGAACUGAGAGACGGUCCAGACUCCUACGGGAGGCAGCAGUGGGGGAUAUUGCACAAUGGGGGAAACCCUGAUGCAGCGACGCCGCGUGGAGGAAGAAGGUUUUCGGAUUGUAAACUCCUGUCGUUAGGGACGAUAAUGACGGUACCUAACAAGAAAGCACCGGCUAACUACGUGCCAGCAGCCGCGGUAAAACGUAGGGUGCAAGCGUUGUCCGGAAUUACUGGGUGUAAAGGGAGCGCAGGCGGACCGGCAAGUUGGAAGUGAAAACCAUGGGCUCAACCCAUGAAUUGCUUUCAAAACUGCUGGCCUUGAGUAGUGCAGAGGUAGGUGGAAUCCCCGGUGUAGCGGUGGAAUGCGUAGAUAUCGGGAGGAACACCAGUGGCGAAGGCGGCCUACUGGGCACCAACUGACGCUGAGGCUCGAAAGUGUGGGUAGCAAACAGGAUAGAUACCCUGGUAGUCCACACCGUAAACGAUGAUUACUAGGUGUUGGAGGAUUGACCCCUUCAGUGCCGCAGUUAACACAAUAAGUAAUCCACCUGGGGAGUACGACCGCAAGGUUGAAACUCAAAGGAAUUGACGGGGGCCCGCACAAGCAGUGGAGUAUGUGGUUUAAUUCGACGCAACGCGAAGAACCUUACCAAGUCUUGACAUCCCUUGACGAUGCUGGAAACAGUAUUUCUCUUCGGAGCAAGGAGACAGGUGGUGCAUGGUUGUCGUCAGCUCGUGUCGUGAGAUGUUGGGUUAAGUCCCGCAACGAGCGCAACCCUUAUGGUCAGUUACUACGCAAGAGGACUCUGGCCAGACUGCCGUUGACAAAACGGAGGAAGGUGGGGAUGACGUCAAAUCAUCAUGCCCUUUAUGACUUGGGCUACACACGUACUACAAUGGCGUUAAACAAAGAGAAGCAAGACCGCGAGGUGGAGCAAAACUCAGAAACAACGUCCCAGUUCGGACUGCAGGCUGCAACUCGCCUGCACGAAGUCGGAAUUGCUAGUAAUCGUGGAUCAGCAUGCCACGGUGAAUACGUUCCCGGGCCUUG